rnacentral:tRNA from 1 species
GCCUGGGUGGCACAGCGGUUAAGCGUCUGACUUCGGCUCAGGGUGUGAUCCCGGUGUUGUGGGAUCGAGCCCCACAUCAGGCU